GGCGGCAGGCCUAACACAUGCAAGUCGAGCGAACCUAGCUUGCUAGGUGAGCGGCGAACGGGUGAGUAACGCGUAGGAAUCUGCCUGGUAGUGGGGGACAACGCGGGGAAACUCGCGCUAAUACCGCAUACGCCCUACGGGGGAAAGUGGGGGAUCUUCGGACCUCACGCUAUCAGAGGAGCCUGCGUCGGAUUAGCUAGUUGGUGAGGUAAAGGCUCACCAAGGCGACAAUCCGUAGCUGGUCUGAGAGGAUGAUCAGCCACACCGGAACUGAGACACGGUCCGGACUCCUACGGGAGGCAGCAGUGGGGAAUAUUGGACAAUGGGGGCAACCCUGAUCCAGCCAUGCCGCGUGUGUGAAGAAGGCCUUCGGGUUGUAAAGCACUUUAAGCGGGGAGGAAAGUUCGUUGGCGAAUACCCAGCGGAAUUGACGUUACCCGCAGAAUAAGCACCGGCUAACUUCGUGCCAGCAGCCGCGGUAAUACGAGGGGUGCAAGCGUUAAUCGGAAUUACUGGGCGUAAAGCGCGCGUAGGCGGCUGAGUAAGUCGAUUGUGAAAUCCCCGGGCUCAACCUGGGAAUUGCAGUCGAGACUGUUUGGCUAGAGUGUGGGAGAGGGUGGUGGAAUUCCCGGUGUAGCGGUGAAACGCGUAGAUAUCGGGAGGAACAUCAGUGGCGAAGGCGACCACCUGGCCCAACACUGACGCUGAGGUGCGAAAGCGUGGGUAGC
rnacentral:rRNA from 1 species